rnacentral:tRNA from 1 species
GGUUUUAUGGUCUAGUUGGUCAUGAUUUCUCGCUAACACCGAGAAGGUCCCCGGUUCGAGCCCGGGUAAAACCA